rnacentral:tRNA from 1 species
GCCUGGGUGGCUCAGUCGGUUGAGUGUCUGACUUCGACUCAGGUCAUGAUCUCACGGUUUGUGAGUUCGAGCCCCACAUGGGGCU